ACACUGCCAAAACCCAAAACCAAAAAAACAACAUAAUCGGACGGUACGAGUCGCGGAAGACCGUUAUCGUGUGUGCUCUGAAAUUAUUUUUUGGUACAACUAAAUUAACAAUGAACGACGAGAAAAGAACCAAAAACGCAACAACCAAACAUACACGAUAAUCAAAAUCAAUCAACGCCCGUCAGUAAUUAUCGGAGAAACGCAGCGAAUUAUAGAUAUAGAAGAAAAUAAUAGAAGUCAUACAUUUUGCAUAUACACACAUAAACACAUUUAACGAUAAAGGAGAACAGACAAAGUGACAAAAAGAAAACAAGAACAAGCAAAAGUAACGGCUAAUUCUCGGAAUCAGACGCAGCAAGCAGCAGCAAAGGCAGCGGAGCGCAAGCGAGACGGCAGCACAGCUCCGCUGCGCAGAGCGCAGGAGAAGGAGAGUACUAGGCAGAGUUGGAGCCACCCCCCGCGCCCUGCACUGUCCCUCGCUGAAAAAGAGUGCAGCGCUCAAAUAUAAGCACAUUACGACGCGACCUACUAAGAAAAAGAGCUCAAGUUGGCCCACAUUUUUAUGUGUGUUUGACAUUUCUCAACACUGGGCACGUACGCUUGAAUAUUCCACAACAACAAAACAGAGGAAACAAAAUGCAUUAAAAAGUCAGAAGUGAGGAAAAAUAUUAUGUAUGCUCCUUUGAGGUCGAGAAAUACAACAACAAAAUAAAGGCAUCCAAAUGACGAGAAAGAAUUAAAUAAGAAAGAGGAUUAUCUUAAAGCAAACAAAUAAGAAAAAGAAACAAAACUAAUUAAAGACUAUAAAGAGACUGCUAAAAGGAACAACAACUCUACAGAUAGAAACAACAACAAAAACAACAACAAAAACAACCAGGAGAAGAAAGACUAGAAUUAAACAUAAUACUAAUAGUUUAUCAAUAAUAAUAUAUAUAUAUAUAAAACAGAGAGAUCAAAAAAACUACACACACACAUACACAGCAACACACACACA